UGUUUUUGAAUAUUUUGGGGGGUGCAUUUGCACCCCCUGAGUCCAACGCAGCUUCGCCCCUGGUACUAAGUAAGGAUCAAGAAGUUUUAGUGUAAUCAUUUUCCAUGUGGGUCAAGAAGUUCUUUUUUGGUGGGGUCGUAGACUGGUAGAAAAAUCAUAGAGUACGUGAUGUGGCCGCCGAGUCGUCAAGGUCGGCCGACCCCGAUGCCAUAACGUAGCUUCACCUCUG
rnacentral:lncRNA from 1 species